rnacentral:sRNA from 1 species
GCCUUUAGAAAUGUUAAUGAAAAGAGAUUUGUGUCACAUAGUCUAGUAAUUGCUUUAGCUUAAUCAAAAAGAUAGUUACAUUGUCUUUUUACAUUUUCUAUGGCAAAAAUUAAGCUUGAUUGAAUGAAUUGUUUUAUGCUUAUACAGGUUAAGCAUCCCUAAUCCGAGAAUCUGAAAUCCUAAAUGCUCCAAAAUCCAAAACUUUUUGAGCACCGACAUGAGGACACAAGUAGAAAUUUCCACACAUAAGCACUUAACACAAACUUUAUUUCAUGCACAAAAUUAUUAAAAAUAUUAUAUGAAAUUACCUUCAGGCUGUGUGUAUAAGUUGUACAUUGAACAUAAAAAUGAAUUUUGUGUUUAGACUUCGGUCCCAUCCCCAAAAUAUCCCAUUUCAUAUAUGCAGAUAAUCCAAAGUCUGAAAAAAUUUAAAAUUGGAAAUUAUUGGCAUUUCCAGUAAGGGAUACUCAACCUGUAAUCAUUUUGGCUCAGUUAAAUUUGGUAAAUAGCAGUAGUCAUUUUACCUUGAGUGGCAGUUCUACAAAUUAUAUUUUUGCCUGUUUUUAUAGCUGAAAAAUACAAGGAUUUAGUACCUGAUAAUUCAAAAACUGCUGACAAUGCAACUAAAAAUGCAGAACCAUUGAUCAAUUUGGAUGUAAAUAAUCCUGAUUUUAAGGCUGGUGUGAUGGCUUUGGCUAACCUGCUUCAGAUUCAGCGUCAUGAUGAUUACCUGGUAAUGCUUAAGGUCAGCUUCAUGUUAUUGAUUCUUGACAGAAACUGUGCACAUAGAAAAAUGUCUUUAUUUUCUAAAUAUU